CACGUAGGGUGCGAGCGUUGUCCGGAAUUAUUGGGCGUAAAGAGCUCGUAGGCGGUGUGUCACGUCGGCCGUGAAAACCUGCAGCUUAACUGUGGGCGUGCGGUCGAUACGGGCAUCACUGGAGUUCGGCAGGGGAGACUGGAAUUCCUGGUGUAGCGGUGAAAUGCGCAGAUAUCAGGAGGAACACCGAUGGCGAAGGCGGGUCUCUGGGCCGAUACUGACGCUGAGGAGCGAAAGCGUGGGGAGCAAACAGG
rnacentral:rRNA from 1 species